UAUAUACUCCAUCCGUCCGAAAUUACUUGUCGCAAAAAUGGAUAGAAAUGGAUGUAUCUCGAACUAAAAUACAUCUAGAUACAUCCAUUUCUCGGACAAGUAUUUCCAGACGGAGGGAGUAUUUU
rfam:Hordeum vulgare subsp. vulgare, WGS project CAJW01000000 data, contig: morex_contig_90977